GCAGAUAGAAGCGUUAUCUAAUACGUGCUGGUAGUUUUGUAGUGAAUUGCAGAGACAGUUAAUUUGCACUUCUGGGUGGGUUUCACUUUAUAUGUUUUAGAUUUAUUUUUGGUGUUGAAAUGCAGAAAGCUAGCCUCUCCCAUCACUAUAGUUAACCACUUGAAUAGUUAGCUGCAGUGACCACCAUUUACUGAACUAAUUAAAGCAGCGUUGAAUACACUACAUGUUGAGUGUUAAGCCUCUUUGUAAGAGAGCAGUCCAGUUUUGAGCCAAAGCUCCCACAGAUGAAAAAUGAUUAUGAUAUAAAAGGGGUUUUGGAAAAAUGCUUCAUUCAAGGUCUGUGGUUAAGCCAAGUGUAAGACAGUUUUAUGUAACUUAUGAGUAGACAGUCUGGGGUUAGUAUCAGUCUUCUCAUCUAACUCUCAGCAUGAAAGCGAAUAAGCAUAUUAUCUUAAGUCUGUAAAGAUGUGAGGUCUAUAUUUUAGCCUGAAGACUUCAACCACUUUUAUCUUACAAAUUAGUGCUAACUUUUUAUUAGUGCUGCUAUGCAUAUGAUAAGAUACAUAAACAUGAUAAGACUGCUUCUAACACAAAGUUUAUUAUCUGCUUCGGUUGAUUCAAAUUCCAUGGCCCAUUGAAGUUGUUGUACAGCUGCAGUCGACAAACCAUGUCUGAGUGAACUUCUAGGUGGACCCACAAAUAGACGUCAUCGCAGUACUGUAUGAAAGAAGUACUCCUAAUCAGUUGGGAGUGUAAUAGUCAGCUAGUGUUGCUGGGAAAUUUUAGUCACCUUGGUAGUGUUAGCCUGGUCACGAUUACAGCCUAACAACACACCUAAACAAGCCUAUACACCAUUUAAAGUGCAAGGUCACGUACAUUAUAUAACUAAAUGAACACACUUUACCAUGAAAAGAGACAAGGCAACAAACACAAACAACUCAGCACCUCAUCAGAAUGAAUAAACAGCUGACAGGACCACGCCAGUCAAGGCAGAUCGGUGCACCACCUGUUUGAACAUGCAACAUUUUUGCAGAGUUAAUGAAAACAAUGAACUCUGGAGCCCUGAACUGUGUGAGUGUACGUGUGCGUCUUUGUGACAUUGUGUUUCUGUUUGCUGCAUGCAUGCUUCAGCAAAGAAACAAACCCGCAAAACCAGUGAGCUACUGUUAGGGGGUAUCGCACAUAACCUCUUAGCUGCUGCAAGGCCAUUGGUACUGAAGCUUUGCUAGUCGUGACUGUGUGAGAACAGCCCUGUUUUCACCACUGAGUGGCGCUGCUGCUCUUAAAAACUGCACUUCCUUAUUCUGCACCACAGAAACCAACAAGUUUAUCUCAUGUAGAGCACCUUGCACUGCUAUAAUAUGGCCACUACAACACUUAACGCUGUAGUUUGAUAAAUGCAAUGCAACCUUUUUAUGCUGCAAGAAAACCUCCACAGCAAAGACACUAUUGUGUGGCAGCAAAAAGCUUUUUAUUUUGAUAGAGCAAAAUGAGGAAAAUGUUUACUGGGCAAACACAAGCUGUGCAGCCAACCGUGCACCCUCCUUCAGGCUACUGACUAAGAGACAGACAGACAGAUGGAUGGAUAGAUCUUGUAGUUAGAAGAGCCUAGGUGCUAUGUGGUCAUCAUGUCCUCAUUUGGAUCUGGUCAGCAGGGCAGCGUAUCAGAAUGACCAUACAUGGUGUGCAGAGAAAGAGGGUCUCUACUCAAUCUCUCCACCCCGUUUUGAGAGAGCCCGUCACCCCCCUACUCACACACUUUCUGGCACACAUAAGAUACACAAAAUAGGAUGGGCUAAACCAUGGACAAGAAAGUUCACAUGUCCACUGUCCAUUCUUUCAGUCAUCUAGUGCUCCCUGUUGCUCAAACUUUCUCUUAACUUUCCAAAAGUCUUCCUGUUUGCUGCUGUUCACUCUGCCCUCUCUUCUCACAAAGACCUUGUUCAUUCAACUACCUGCAUUUACCUACAGGAAGAGAAGUGAAGGGAGGUACAGAAAGCACCUUGGCCCAGCCUGCCGCACCUUCCUUCCCUCGGGAUUUUCCACAUCUGAGCACAGACCUCCGCUUUGUUUUGACGUUCUCUGAAAUUACUCAGGUCUAGCGGAGAUAAAGGAGCGAUCUACCUCUCUGUACCUGGCUUUGGAUGUUUGGAGUGGCACAUAUUUCCCACGCUGCUUUUCCUUUUUUCUUUCUUUUUUUUUUCUGAAUGGAAAAUGGAGUCGCCAUGUGAACUGGGACGUAGGUACACAAGCAAACAGGCUUGACUGUGGCAGAACAAGUCUCAGCAAAACAAAGACAGAGGGUAGCACAUGAAAAGAGGCACAGGUUAACAGUUAUUGCACAAACGGUGAAGACAAAGACACUGUUGCUUUGAUAGACGAUGAGCCAGACCAGCAGAAUGAGGACUGUGAACAGACAUCUGGAACUGACAGUCCAAAGCCCGUCCCUGAC